GAUGAACGCUGGCGGCGUACCUAAUACAUGCAAGUCGAGCGAACAGACGAGGAGCUUGCUCCUCUGACGUUAGCGGCGGACGGGUGAGUAACACGUGGAUAACCUACCUAUAAGACUGGGAUAACUUCGGGAAACCGGAGCUAAUACCGGAUAAUAUAUUGAACCGCAUGGUUCAAUAGUGAAAGACGGUUUUGCUGUCACUUAUAGAUGGGUCCGCGCCGCAUUAGCUAGUUGGUAAGGUAACGGCUUACCAAGGCAACGAUGCGUAGCCGACCUGAGAGGGUGAUCGGCCACACUGGAACGUGGACACGGUCCAGACUCCUAAGGGAGGCAGCAGUAGGGAAUCCUCCGCAAUGGGCGAAAGCCUGACGGAGCAACGCCGCGUGAGUGAUGAAGGUCUUCGGAUCGUAAAACUCUGUUGUGAGGGAAGAACAAAUGUGUAAGUAACUAUGCACGUCUUGACGGUACCUAAUCAGAAAGCCACGGCUAACUACGUG
rnacentral:rRNA from 1 species